rnacentral:misc_RNA from 1 species
CACAAGAAGGCAUCAUCUCCAGAAGGAGCCUCUGGAAAACUAUCACCUUCAACUUGGAAGAGAGGAAAACAUAGGUCAUGGUCUCUCUAGCCAUGAAGCACCUGCAAGCAACUUUUUUAGGAUGUUGGCUCUUAAUCCUUGAAGUUGUCUUCUUUGAGUUUUUAUUGAAGCCGAGGACUUACACCAAAGCAAACACACCACAGAAAAAGCAGAUCAAAGAAACAUAGCCUCUCCCAAAUAAACAUAAUAUCUGCAACCACCCAAAAACCAAAAGAGUAUCUACAAAUAGAGGGAGAUAAGCCCACACUCCAAUCGGGGAUGGUUCCCAUAAUUCUGAAGGGCAAGGGUAUUCACUGAAAGCAAUUUUAGUUAUUUUGAAGAGAAAACGAGACUAAACAUUUAAUGACUAUUCACUUUAGCGUACGAUGAACAAGCAGCGAGAAAAUUUUCCCCCUAAACAAAUAGAAAGAGAAAAGUUU